rnacentral:rRNA from 1 species
AGAGUUUGAUCCUGGCUCAGGAUGAACGCUAGCGGUGCGCUUAACACAUGCAAGUCGUGCGAUCGAACCGGAUGGAUUUCCCUUCGGGGUCUGAAGACCGGUCACGGAGCGGCGAACUGGUGAGUAACACGUAGCUAACCUACCCUCUUGACAGGAAUAACCAUCCGAAAGGAUGGCUAAUGCCCGAUGUUGUGCGGAGUUGAUGACUUCGUUCCAAAGGCGGUCUUGCCGCCACAAGGGGAGGGGGCUGCGUCCUAUUAGCUAGUUGGUAGGGUAAUGGCCUACCAAGGCAAAAAUGGGUAGCUGGUCUGAGAGGACGAUCAGCCACAUUGGGACUGAGAUACGGCCCAGACUCCUACGGGAGGCAGCAGUGGGGAAUAUUGGACAAUGGACGAAAGUCUGAUCCAGCGACACCGCGUGGGGGAUGAAGGCUUUCGGGUCGUAAACCCCUUUUCUGGGGGAAGAAUAAGGUUGGGAGGAAAUGCCCAUCCGAUGACGGUACUCCAGGAAUAAGCAUCGGCAAACUUCGUGCCAGCAGCCGCGGUAAGACGAGGGAUGCAAGCGUUAUCCGGAAUUACUGGGCGUAAAGGGCGUCUAGGCGGUUGGAUAAGUCAUUUGUGAAAUCCCAGGGCUCAACCCUGGAAGGUCUCGUGAUACUGUCCGGCUUGGGUGUAGGAGAGGAGAGCGGAACUCACAGAGUAGCGGUGGAAUGCGUAGAUACUGUGAGGUACCCCGAUGGCGAAGGCAGCUCUCUGGCCUACUACCGACGCUGAAGCGCGAAAGCGUGGGGAGCAAAGGGGAUUAGAUACCCCCGUAGUCCACGCCCUAAACGAUGUUCACUUGGUGUCGGGAGCCUAUAUAUCUCGGUGCCGGAGCUAACGCGUUAAGUGAACCGCCUGAGGAGUACGGUCGCAAGGCUAAAACUCAAGAGAAUUGACGGGUCCCCGCACAAGCGGUGGA